UACGGAGGGUGCAAGCGUUAUCCGGAUUUACUGGGUUUAAAGGGUGCGUAGGUGGAUUGGGAAGUCAGUGGUGAAAUACUACAGCGCAACUGUGGAACUGCCAUUGAUACUAUCAAUCUUGAAUACAGUGGAGGCAGGCGGAAUGUGUCAUGUAGCGGUGAAAUGCUUAGAUAUGACACAGAACACCUAUUGCGAAGGCAGCUUGCUACACUGUCAUUGACGCUGAGGCACGAAAGCGUGGGGAUCAAACAGG
rnacentral:rRNA from 1 species